rnacentral:rRNA from 1 species
UACGGAGGGUGCAAGCGUUAUCCGGAAUCACUGGGUUUAAAGGGUGCGUAGGCGGCACAAUUAAGUCAGAAGUGAAAAGGCUGGUAGCUUAACUAUGGAAUUGGCUUUUUGAUACUGUUGAGCUUGAAUUGGGUUGAGGUUAGCGGAAUGAGUCAUGUAGCGGUGAAAUGCAUAGAUAUGACUUAGAACACCAAUUGCGAAGGCAGCUAACUGGGCCUUGAUUGACGCUGAGGCACGAAAGCGUGGGGAGCGAACAGGAUUAGAUACCCGCGUAGUCC